rnacentral:rRNA from 1 species
UAAUACGGAGGGUGCAAGCGUUAAUCGGAAUUACUGGGCGUAAAGCGCACGUAGGCGGUUAUUUAAGUCAGAUGUGAAAGCCCCGGGCUCAACCUGGGAACUGCAUCUGAUACUGGGUAACUAGAAUGUGGGAGAGGGAAGUGGAAUUUCCGGUGUAGCGGUGAAAUGCAUAGAGAUCGGAAGGAACAUCAGUGGCGAAGGCGACUUCCUGGACCAACAUUGACGCUGAGGUGCGAAAGCGUGGGUAGCAAACAGGAUUAGAUACCCUGGUAGUCCACGCUGUAAACGAUGUCAACUAGCCGUUGGGUUCAACUUAGAACUCAGUGGUGCAGCUAACGCAUUAAGUUGACCGCCUGGGGAGUACGCUCGCAAGAGUAAAACUCAAAGGAAUUGACGGGGGCCCGCACAAGCGGUGGAGCAUGUGGUUUAAUUCGAUGCAACGCGAAGAACCUUACCAGCCCUUGACAUGGUAGGAAUCCCUGAGAGAUUAGGGAGUGCCGCAAGGAACCUAC